CGAGUUCACCCAGCACGGGCUUCUUGCGCAGCAUGACCACUCCAUUCUUGGCUCCUUCAAGCGUGGCCACUGUGCGCAUUGUCUGUCGUUAACUUGCCGCGACAUGACAACAAAGAAGGAAAUCCAACAAGAGGGUAGACUUAGCGAAAACUGGCAACAGGAAGGACGUCAAGCCUGGUAUUCGCCCCAUCUGACGAGAGCAUCCGAAAAAAAAAAGGAACGUGAAGCGGAUUUACAAUGUUUUAUUUUUUUAUUCUUUCCCGAUAAAACUAAAGGAAAGUUUUGAGUAUAAAUGAAGGUUUAGUUUGCGACUUAUUUUUCUUGCGUCACCUAGCAACAAGCUAACGGCACGCCAGACGCGCCAGAUGCAUGCGUCAUACGCCAAACGCGCCACCGAAGCGAGCAGCGAGGCUGGCUGAGCACAUGAAGUUCGCCUGUUCCGCGACCCGUUUGUCUCGCCCUCGCUUCCUCUUCAUUUUUUUAUUUUUUUAUGUGGUACGGUCUUUUGGCUUCCGGCGUAUUACGCUUCGUCUGGAUUUCGACACGGCAGCACUGCACUAUUGGACUACAGCAUGCUGAUGCCAUCCGGUGCAGCUACGUACUGAAACAGCUGCUUACCUGGUGCCACAGCGCGGGAUGAAUCCACAGUGAACCUGAAGUGCUGUGCAAGAAACAAGAAUGUCAACCGAUGCUCGUGCCACCAAUAAAUCUUCAUCACAGUCACGGGUGGCGGAACAGACCAACUGCGUCCGCAGUGUCGUCAAAGUUUUGCUUCGGCGUGGACACUCCUCGCUUUUUUUCUUCGUGAGGCGCUGGCCCCGCCUCAACGUGCCCCCACGUCGUAUAACGGGAUGGCGUUUACGGGAACACCGGUGGC